rnacentral:sRNA from 1 species
AUUCUUGUUUUGAUGAUGUCGGAGGAGUAUUUGCUAUGUAAGUAUGAGUGCACCUAGACUCUCUCUCACUGCAGGGGGCAUCCGUUUUGUGUAAAGAAUUAAGUGACCUUGUACUUAGUAAUCUGUGGGGGUUUUUAGUAAGUAUGUUACAGCACUGGUAGCAGCAUUGACUUGCAAAAGUACUGCCAUUCAGCCAUAAACAGGAAAAACCCUCCCAUUAAAAGCCCACGAUUUCAUGUGGUCACAGUGCGUGACACAUUUUUCAGGCUUUGUUUGUUUCAAAAUAUUCCUCUAGCCGAGAUUGACGUAAUCUUAUGCUCUGAAUCUUUGCCACGGUCUAGUAAACGAAGCAGUUAUUCUCAAGGUUAGGGGGGUAAUUUUUAAUACGAUUGUGUUUGUGUGCUUUUUUGCGAGCCACAUGCACUGUUGUGACUGUAACCCAGUACAUGUGGGAUGAGGGGGUUGAAUGAUCCUGUCAUCAUCCUAACUCCCUAAUUGUUGAUUAAUGGUGCUCAACAAUUGGAAUGUCUCCUCAUUUAAGAGUCGUAAAUGAUUUCAUUCUCAUUAUUUCCAGCAUUUUGCAAUCUAUUAAUUUCAUGUUCCCCUGUGUAAGUGCAAACGUCAUAAUUGAAGAGACUUUUUUUUUAGAGGCCAAACUGAAAAGGUAUGGUGUUUUAGGGAUGUUGAAACCGACGUCAAGAACCCAUGCAUUGCAAAAUAUGCUGUACUUGUUGAAAACAAAAGACUUUCCAUUGCAAAAUUACAAGACCAUCAAAGAUAGUUAUUGUCACACACGAAAACAGUAGAAUUAUUUACAAUUAAUUUUUCAUUAUUUUGAAAGAUAAAGGUGCAGAUUGAGAGCUAAAUAACUAUUAUGGGGUAGGAAGUGGGGGGGGGGGGGGGGGGGGGAGCUUGUGAUCUUAAGUGCGCAUAUACAGGGAUUUUGCUGUCUAUAUCAUAUCUCAGAAAAAAGAAGCGUGUUUUUAUUAAUCCAUUAAAAUCCCUAUGAUAAGAACAGCAAAAUUCCUAAGUUUAUUAAGAUGCAGAAUAAACAAGUUCAGUUGAGUUGGAUGGUUUACAGGGAGGCUUGAAUGGGUUUUACCAGUCUGUGUAUCGCUAUGUGUGUUUGUGU